rnacentral:rRNA from 1 species
CAGCAGCCGCGGGAAUACGAGGGGGGCAAGCGUUGUUCGGAAUUAUUGGGCGUAAAGGGUGCGUAGGCGGUUUGGCAAGUCUUAUGUGAAAUCUUCAGGCUCAACCUGAAGUCUGCAUGAGAAACUGCCGGGCUUGAGUAUUGGAGAGGUGAGUGGAAUUUCCGGUGUAGCGGUGAAAUGCGUAGAUAUCGGAAGGAACACCUGUGGCGAAAGCGGCUCACUGGACAAUAACUGACGCUGAGGCACAAAAGCUAGGGGAGCAAACAGGAUUAGAUACCCCAGUAGUCCCUGUCUCUUAUAC